CUCCAUUAGAAUGUCUCCUCUCUCUCUGAGUCUCUGGUCCCUGAAAAGGAGAGAUGCUGUUUCUCAGAAGCAAACCAGGUUGGAGUGCAGUGGCACCAUCUCUGCUCACGGCAACCUUUGUCUCCCAGAUUCAAGCGAUUCUCCUGCCUCAGACUCCCGAGUAGCUGGGAUUACAGGCAUCCGCCACCACGCCCAGAUGAUUGGAAGCUUCCUGAGGCCUCCCCUGAAGCAGAGGCUGCCAUACUUCCUGUACAGCCUGCAGAACCAUGAGCCAGACGAAUCUCUUUUCUUACGACUUACCCAGUCGCAGGUUCAACACUAUGUGCAAUAAGAGAAUGAACGAUAUUGGAAAUCGGGUCUCGAAAUAAGCAGAAUGUUACUGGGUUUGUCUGUCUUUUUUCACUGUUUCUCCUAUUCAUCUUCAUUUCUAUAAAAAUACAAACAGAA